rnacentral:sRNA from 1 species
GGUAUCUUGCUGCAACAUCGGUCACCCCAUUGAUUGUCAGGUUAUUCAGCUAUUGUAUCUUUGUGUUCCUUUGUCUUGAGGUACCAUCCCAGUAGAGGAGGACAGGUCUUCGGUCAAGGGUAUAUGAGUAGCCGCUCUCCCCUGCUAGAACCUCCAAACAAGCUCUGAUGAAUACUCAAAAAUAUUUUCCAAAUUCUGGAAAAAUCAGCUACAGUGAAACAAAUAUGCUCCAAAUUUUGUUAAUAGGAGUAUACUUUACUCAAUUGCUAAAAG